AUUGAACGCUGGCGGCAGGCUUAACACAUGCAAGUCGAGCGAGCGGAGGACGGGUGGGUAAUGUCUGGGAAACUGCCUGAUGGAGGGGGAUAAGUACUGGAAACGGUAGCUAAUACCGAAUACAAUCAGAUGUGCCCAGAGGGGAUGAUCUAGUAGGUGGGGUAAUGGCUCACCUAGGCGACGAUCCCUAGCUGGGCUGAGAGGAUGACCAGCCACACGGGAACUGAGACACGGUCCAGACUCCUACGGGAGGCAGAAGUGGGGAAUCUUGCACAAUGGGCGCAAGCCUGAUGCAGCCAUGCCGCGUGUGUGAAGAAGGCCUUCGGGUUGUAAAGCACUUUCAGCGAGGAGGCGUUACUCGCAGAAGAAGCACCGGCUAACUCCGUGCCAGCCGCCGCGGUAAUAC
rnacentral:rRNA from 1 species